rnacentral:rRNA from 1 species
GUUUGAUCAUGGCUCAGGACAAACGCUGGCGGCGUGCUUAACACAUGCAAGUCGAACGGUCUACCUUCGGGUAGAUAGUGGCGGACGGGUGAGUAACACGUAGACAACCUGCCCUAAAGUGGGGAAUAACUAACCGAAAGGUUAGCUAAGACCGCAUAAGUUCUCUAUUGCUAGAUAGAGAAGAAAUGCUCCGCAAGGAGCAGCUAUAGGAGGGGUCUGCGGCGGAUUAGCUAGUUGGUGGAGGUAACGGCCCCCCAAGGCGACGAUCCGUAGCUGGUCUGAGAGGACGGCCAGCCACACUGGGACUGAGACACGGCCCAGACUCCUACGGGAGGCAGCAGUGAGGAAUAUUCCACAAUGGGCGAAAGCCUGAUGGAGCGACGCCGCGUGAAGGAAGAAGGCCUUCGGGUUGUAAACUUCUUUUUUCGGGGAUGACACGCCCUCGCAAGGGGGCUAGAACAGUACCCGAAGAAUAAGCAUCGGCUAACUACGUGCUAGCAGCCGCGGUAAUACGUAGGAUGCUAGCGUUGUCCGGAUUUACUGGGCGUAAAGCGCGCGCAGGCGGC